rnacentral:rRNA from 1 species
UCAAGAAACUUCCACAAUGGGCGAAAGCCUGAUCCAGCCAUGCCGCGUGAGUGAAGAAGGCCUUCGGGUUGUAAAGCUCUUUUGUCAGGGACGAUAAUGACGGUACCUGAAGAAUAAGCCCCGGCAAACUUCGUGCCAGCAGCCGCGGUAAUACGAAGGGGGCUAGCGUUGUUCGGAAUUACUGGGCGUAAAGCGCACGUAGGCUGAUUGUUAAGUCAGGGGUGAAAUCCCAGAGCUCAACUCUGGAACUGCCCUUGAUACUGGCAAUCUCGAGUCCGGAAGAGGUUAGUGGAAUUCCCAGUGUAGAGGCGAAAUUCGUAGAUAUUGGGAAGAACACCAGUGGCGAAGGCGGCUAACUGGUCCGGUACUGACGCUGAGGUGCGAAAGCGUGGGGAGCAAACAGGAUUAGAUACCCCCGUAGUCCCUGAGCGGGCUGGCAAGGCGCAU